UGCCAGCAGCCGCGGUAAGACGAAGGUGGCAACCGUUGUUCGGAAUUACUGGGCAUAAAGAGCACGUAGGCGGACUACUAAGUCGGGUGUGAAAUCCCUCGGCCCAACCGAGGAACUGCGCCCGAUACUGGUAGUCUUGAGGACAGGAGGGGAGCGUGGAAUUCCUGGUGGAGCGGUGAAAUGCGUUGAUAUCAGGAGGAACACCGGCGGCGAAGGCGACGCUCCGGCCUGAUACUGACGCUGAGGUGCGAAAGCUAGGGGAGCAAACGGGAUUAGAUA
rnacentral:rRNA from 1 species